rnacentral:misc_RNA from 1 species
GAUGAAGAACGUAGUGAAAUGCGAUAAGUAAUGUGAAUUGCAGAAUUCAGUGAAUCAUCGAAUCUUUGAACGCACAUUGCGCCCGCUAGUAUUCUGGCGGGCAUGCCUGUCCGAGCGUCAUUUCAACCCUCAAGCCCCCGGGCUUGGUGUUGGGGAUCGGCGAGCCUCCGCGCCCGCCGUCCCCUAAAUCUAGUGGCGGUCUCGCUGUAGCUUCCUCUGCGUAGUAGCACACCUCGCACUGGGAAACAGCGCGGCCACGCCGUUAAACCCCCAACUUCUGAACGUUUGACCUCGGAUCAGGUAGGAAUACCCGCUGAACUUAAGCAUAUCAAUAAGCGAGGA